rnacentral:rRNA from 1 species
GUGCCAGCCGCCGCGGUAAUACGUAGGGUGCAAGCGUUAAUCGGAAUUACUGGGCGUAAAGCGUGCGCAGGCGGUUCGGAAAGAAAGAUGUGAAAUCCCAGAGCUUAACUUUGGAACUGCAUUUUUAACUACCGGGCUAGAGUGUGUCAGAGGGAGGUGGAAUUCCGCGUGUAGCAGUGAAAUGCGUAGAUAUGCGGAGGAACACCGAUGGCGAAGGCAGCCUC